rnacentral:rRNA from 1 species
CCUACGGGCGGCAGCAGUGGGGGAUAUUGCACAAUGGGGGGAACCCUGAUGCAGUGACGCCGCGGGGGUGAAGAAGCGCCUCGGCGCGUAAAGCCCUGUCAGCAGGGAAGAAAAUGACGGUACCUGAAGAAGAAGCCCCGGCUAACUAAGUGCCAGCAGCCGCGGUAAUACGUAGGGGGCAAGCGUUAUCCGGAUUUACUGGGUGGAAAGGGGGCGCAGACGGCGAUGCAAGCCAGGAGUGAAAGCCCGGGGCCCAACCCCGGGACUGAUCUUGGAACUGCGUGGCUGGAGUGCAGGAGGGGCAGGCGGAAUUCCUGGUGUAGCGGUGAAAUGCGUAGAUAUCAGGAGGAACACCGGUGGCGAAGGCGGCCUGCUGGACUGCAACUGACGUUGAGGCCCGAAAGCGUGGGGAGCAAACAGGAUUAGAUACCCGUGUAGUC